rnacentral:rRNA from 1 species
UACGGGGGGGGCAAGCGUUGUUCGGAAUUACUGGGCGUAGAGGGUGCGUAGGCGGUCUGUUAAGUUGGAUGUGAAAACUCUGGGCUCAACCCAGAGCCUGCAUCCAAAACUGGCAGGCUAGAGUUCUGGAGGGGGUAGCGGAAUUCCUGGUGUAGCGGUGAAAUGCGCAGAUAUCGGGAGGAACACCGGUGGCGAAGGCGGUUCUCUGGGCCUUACCUGACGCUGAGGAGCGAAAGCGUGGGGAGCGAACAGG